AAAAAAAAAAUUCUAUGUCUAAAAUUUAACAAUUAAAUAAAUUUUUUAUGGUUUAAAAAUUUUAUUAUAAGUUUAUUUUACAUAUAAAUUUUAGUGUUAAUUAUUAUUUAUUUAAAUAAUAUUUAAUUUUUAUAGUAGUAAUUAAUUUUAAAAAUUUAAGAAAUUAAGAUUUAGUAAUAUAGAAAUUAAUAACUAAUUUUGUGCCAGCAGUUGCGGUUAUACAAAAAUUAAUUUAAAUUUUUUUAGUAAUUAAUAAUUAAAUUAAAUGAAUAAUUUAAAAAUAAAAUUAUUAAGUGAAAUUUUAAUUUUAUAAAAAAUUAUUUAUAAAUUAUGAUUUAAUAAAUUUAAUAAAAAACUAGGAUUAGAUACCCUAUUAUUAAAAUUUAAAUUAAUAAUACUUAAAUAGUAAAUAAUUUUUAUUGAAACUUAAAUAAUUUGGCGGUAUUUUAGUUUAUUUAGAGGAAUCUGUUUAAUAAUUGAUAAUCCACGAAUAAAUUUACUUAAUUUAAAGUUUUGUAUAUCGUUGUUAAAAAAAUAUUUUUUAAUAAAAAUAAUAUUUUAAAAUUUAAAAUUAAAAUUAAAUCAGAUCAAGAUGCAGAUAAUAAUUAAGAAUAUAAUGGAUUACAAUAAAUUUAUUUAAUUGGAUUUUAAUUUGAAAUAUUUAAUUGAAAUUGGAUUUAAAUGUAAUUUUAUUUAUUUUAAUAAAAUGAUUAAAUAUUAAAAUAUGUACAUAUUGCCCGUCGCUUUCAUUAAUAAAUUGAAAUAAGUCGUAACAAAGUAGAGGUACUGGAAAGUGUUUCUAGAAAGAU
rnacentral:ncRNA from 1 species